UACGGGGGGGGUAAGCGUUGUUCGGAAUUACUGGGCGUAAAGGGCUCGUAGGCGGCCAACUAAGUCAUACGUGAAAUCCCUCAGCUUAACUGGGGAACUGCGUGUGAUACUGGAAGGCUUGAAUCCGGGAGAGGGAUGUGGAAUUCCAGGUGUAGCGGUGAAAUGCGUAGAUAUCUGGAGGAACACCGGUGGCGAAGGCGACAUCCUGGACCGGUAUUGACGCUGAGGCGCGAAAGCCAGGGGAGCAAACGGG
rnacentral:rRNA from 1 species